rnacentral:rRNA from 13 species
AGUCGAGCGAGACUCUUCGGAGUCUAGCGGCGGACGGGUGAGUAACACGUGGGCAACCUGCCUGUAAGACUGGGAUAACACCGGGAAACCGGUGCUAAUACCGGAUAAUCCUUUUCCUCUCAUGAGGAAAAGCUGAAAGUCGGUUUCGGCUGACACUUACAGAUGGGCCCGCGGCGCAUUAGCUAGUUGGUGAGGUAACGGCUCACCAAGGCGACGAUGCGUAGCCGACCUGAGAGGGUGAUCGGCCACACUGGGACUGAGACACGGCCCAGACUCCUACGGGAGGCAGCAGU